UGUCCAGCGUCUGCAGAACAGAGAGGAAGACUAGGAAAAAGGUGGAAACACAGCAAGAACCCCCCGACACACACACUAGGCCUGUGAUUAGUGUUGACCAGGAUGGAAGAUGGGACACACCAGCAAGGAAAUGGACUCGUCUGUCUGCUCCUGGUAUUCCCAGGAUUGAGCUCAAAUGUAAUCUCUCUCCUACGUCUUUCAAGUCCUCGAAAAUCAUGCAACAUUUAAGUUUGCUUCUUUUUAGACUAUGAGCUUCUCAGACAGACUUUUAUUUUCCUGGAAUUACCAAUUGACUUUUUCGUGUGAAUUUGACAAAAUAUAAUUUGAGCACACCUUACCACUAGAUCACUCAGCUUCCGAACAGUCCGUCAUCUAUGUACCCAACACAUUCAUCUGGAAGUCCUCUGAAUUUCUGUUCUAAUUUAGAUCCUUGGAGCAAUAACAUUUUUAACUUCUAAGAACUUGUUCCUCUCCGAUUGCUACUUUUAUAACAACCUCUUCUUGUUCUGGGAACUAACAUCUUGAAUCUCCUGCGUAAAACCCGUCUGAAGUGGGAAAGCCCUCUUCUAUCUCCUAAUUCUUGUUUUCUCCUGGGUUACUUGUUUUACUGGUUCGCCUUGAUCCAUGCCUUCUGCACUAUCGGUUUUUCUCAGAUGCCUGGUAACUCUUGUCUGGUAAGAUUUCUUAAUGAAGAGCGAGGCUGGCUGACAUGACGCUGGCACGUCUCUGAAACUGUCUGGACUUGCUGUCCUCCUGGGCCUCUCCAAUGGGCACAGGCUGUGUGUGCCGGGGGGCAGGCUGCCCGUGGGGUCUUGGGUGGGGGAUGGCAGCCUGAUCUGUCCUCAGCAGCCGUGGGUGUCCCGUUCGUCUCGUCCUGGCAGUUCCCUUCUGCACCCUGAAUGCUGCUGGCCUCAGUUGGUGCUCUAGGUCCUGUGGCUGCCAUCACAUGGUGGGGGGGGGGGGUUUGUUCCAUGCCGUUCUCAUAUUCCUGGUGUUGCCAGAAAUCCUGGGGUCCUUGCUGGCGUCUCUGCCUGCACCAUCAUACGGCCUCCUGUGUGUCUUUUUUUCCUCUUCCUGUAAAGAUGUCAGCCAUAUUGGAUUAGGGCCCAUGCGAAUCAAGUGUGACCUCAUCUUACUCCCAUCUGAAAAGACCCUAUUUCCAAUAAGCUCCCGCACACAGGUACUGGGAUUUAGGCCUUCAAUGUGUCUUUCUAGAGGAUACAACUCAACCCACAACAGUCAGCUCCCUAGAGGUGGCCCCUGAGACAGGCAUUCAAGUGCACAUGAUUAUUCAGGAAAAACCUCUAAGGGAGUAAAAGAGGUGCAGGAUGGUGUGAGGCUGUCUCAGGUGAAGCCGAACCUGGACCAGCCUUGGUUGGGGGAGGUGGUCUACAGAGUUGUCCAACCUUAGAUUGAGACCUGGGCUUCGUUUCCUGUGCCAGUCAAUCAUUGCCCCACGUGGGGGAGUGUGAUUUCCCCAGCAGGGUGGCUCUCAUGGGCCCAGCACACAUCUCUAGGGAUUUUAGACGUAAGGCCAUCAGCCUAUUACUCUAAGCAGCACAAGGAGGGAAAGGGAAUCUUUCCUUCUGGAACUCCUAUAACAUGUGCGUUUUACCUUCUUGUGCUUUUUGUCUCACUCUUGCAUUUUCCAUCUCUUUUUUGUUUUUCUGGGCUGCAUUCUAAGUUCUUAAUCCCCUGGUGCGAGUGUGUGUGUGCUUAUGUUGGUGGGGGGUGGUCAAUCCCCUCGUAGAAGAGGAUCCCUUCUGCCUGCAUUUUAUAAUCUUCAGUGUGAGGCACCUUCUCUUGACAGUGGUUUCCUCUGUGGGAGCCCAGAGUAUCUGAACCGUGCGAUGGAACCCACAGAGAAGUUUGCUUUUGUUUCUGCCAUUAGGUUUUAGGGUUUUCUCUGGUCUGAGGCCAGUUUGUACAUAGGUGUCAAUUUCUUAGGUUCUUACAUCAUAAGGGUGACUUGGAGCACAUGCUUCACCUACAGGACACUUAGGCUUUUUGUUUUUUUUAAUCCAUCCAGAUCCUGAUGUGGGAGCAUCAGGGGACAGAACUCUGUCUUAGGAGAGAGAGAAGACUUCUGGGGAUGCUCUGCACAGGGGUUCCACGUCAGCUCCCCAUAUCGUGCAGACCCUUUACUCCCUCCAUGGCCCCGUGCGAGCUUUGAGACCCCUCCCCCGAGCAGGUGUGACCUCUCUCUGGCUCCCCGAAGCUGCUGUUUGGACCUUGAUCCUUUUGGCUCUUGUUAAUCUCUACUUUUUCUAGCAUCUAAGGAUUGCUCUUUCCUCCUUUUAGCUAGAUGUUAAAAUCAUUUCUCAUUAUAUUUUAAUCCAGUAUCUCUACCUGGAGAUCUUCAAUGGUUCUACCUAUCAUGUUUUUAAAUCUGGAAUUCUUUCCUUUAGAAGUUCAUCAAAGUCUCUCAUCUGCUGAAGUCCAUACACGGUCUCCCUCCCCACCCCAAUAUUGGUGCUGUUAGGGAUUUAUUCCCGAUUGUAAUUCUUUUACUGCUAAGCCCAUAGAAUUUUGUCAUGGAGAAAAGCUACACAUAUGCAACUGAGGUGUCUUAAACUGAGAGCUCAUAAAGUUGUCUCAAUUUCCUCCCAGGGACACUUAAGUUCAUUCACUAGCACUCCACACAGCACUUCUGCUCAGAAACACCACGUUCUAUUUGCUUUUAUAGUUAUUUAAAAGUUUACCUUGCUCCCCCCCCAAAAGGUUGUAAGCUAUUUAAUGUCAAAGCUUAUAUUUUAUUUGUCUUUAUAUCUUCUGAGCAUCUUGCCCAGUAUCUUGCAAACAUUGGGUAUUUCACAUGGAAUAAGGGAGCUUGGUUAGACUCCAGCCCUGACCUUCCCAUGUGACUUUGGGAAACUUAUGCAACCUCUCUGAGCCAGUUUUCUUAUCUAUUAAAUGGCAACAGUCAAACCUUUCCAGGACUGUUUUAAAAGUGAAAUGAGAUUGCGCAUAGGAAGCACAGCCCCUCCCAGGCCUGUGCAAAUAUGUAUAAACUCUCCCAGGUGGUUUAUUUAAUGCCUCUGCCAGUUGCCACGUUCUCCUUUCCCAGCAGUUUCCUACCUGAAAUGUGGGGCAGGGACUUUUCUGGCAAAUUGGUGAAUCAGAACUUACAGCGGGGCUCUUUCUGUUGACAUCAGCUGCAAUCCUGAAAGGCUGAGGGCAAAACGGCCCCCAGACAGUUCGAUGACUCGUCACUCAAAAUCAUCUUAAGAGUCUGAAAGAAUUGAGAUUAAAAAGGCUGAGAGAAAAAUCUUUUUGGUGACAGCUGUCAUGUUGACAAACCUGGGAGGGGUUGGGCAGAGGGAGCUGUGAAAUGGACAGUGUUUUCCCUUCAUUUCAGGCCUCAUGAGAGGGCAUUGAGAAUAACACUCAGAGCUGGAGAUUUGCCCUCUGGGGUGGAGGUGGGCAGAACGGGUACUAUUGGUCCACCCUGUGGGUGUGACGCUUGGGGCAGGAGCCAGUAUCACACAAAGCAGCCUGAGAGAGCCCGUCACCAGAAGCAGGUAGGUCUCUCACUGGCAGAGUCCCCUGGGAAGUGCUGGUGAGAACUCCCUGUGCCUCUCCUAGCAGGGGCUGCAGUACUGGCCAUGAGGGCAGAGCCCUGUCUUCCAGCUCUGCGUCUCCCUGGCGUAUGCUCUGGAAAUUGCCCUCAGCCAAAGACGGCUGCCUCACCCAGCAUCACGACCCCUCCUCAGGGACCACACCAUCCAGUGCUGAGUCCACAAGGGGUCCUGGCAGGUGCCUGGCCUCUGUAGGGGUAACUCUGAGAGGCCCCCAGCUCCACAGCGUCUCACAGCACUGACCAAAGCCUCUGUGGCAGCUGCCUGGACCCCUCUGCCCAGCCUGCUGAUCUCAGCCCUUGGCAGGACUGUUCCCAAGGGCAUUUCUCACUACACCUUGGGCUCUCCAGCCUCAGUGGAGGUUUCCUGAUGCUGUAUCCCCCUGGAAACAGCUCUCUUCCCUCCCACCCUGCUUGGAGGGGUCCAAAACCAUGAGUGAGCUUGGGAGGAAGAGAGAGAGACAUGGGCCGGGGGAGCAGAGGGGCUGGCCAUUCCCUGCCCACCCCAGGCUACACUGUGAAGGCUCCUGGGCUAGCUAGAGAGAUGCCGUCAUUCUGAAUGAAGCUGAAUUUGGACCGUUUCUUUUCUUCUUCUUUUCAUCAUUUUUUGUUUGUGCUACCCUUGGCAUUUUUAACUUUUUUUGUUUUUCAGGUUAAUGUGAGGGUACAAACAACUAGAUUACAAUAUCUGCAUUUGUUAGGUAGAGUAGUUGUGUGCGGCAGCCAGGAGGUGUCCACAGACCCUUACAUUGUGCCCAUUAAGUGAGAGCAGACCAAUCCCCCUCCCCAAGUUUUGGCUGUUCCAUGAGACUGAACGUCUUAGCUGUUGACAUGAGGCUGCUCCUGUGACUAGUAGUGACUGAAGGAUGAAGAUGGUGAUUCUGAUCCAGCAGUACCCAGAGAUGCUUUGGGGCCACCCAUGUUUUCAUCCAAGGCAUUUCAGAUUGAGGUUGAAAACUACAUACAGCAUGUCUGCCUCUGAUGGACUUGAAACCAGCAUUAUCCAGCCGAGGUGGUUGUCAUGGCAACGCAGGAUUACCAGGGCUUGACUGGAAACAGGAGCAGCAGCCCAAUCACUAUUGGUCAGUACCUCUUUCGUUUCUUCCCUACACUGGAUUUCCCUUACAGACAGGUAAGAAUGAGAAACCCGGAUGAGAAACCACUUUGGGCCAGCCACAUUCAUCGCCCGCAAUCUAAAUCAUCAUCUUGACUGGGACCAAGGGAAGAAAUUUUGAUACCACAGGCAGCUUAUGACAGUGACCUAACAAUGUGUGUGGUGCCCAGACAUCCCAGGAACCCAUGCCUUGCCUCCCCGGGCUCGAUUUCAUACCCUGCUGCAUUAACAGUCUGGUGCCACACCCCCAACUUCCUGCCCUUACCUUGGGUUUGACUUCUCUAGAGUUUGCCCUUCCCUCUACCUGAGCCCCUUGAGAGUGGGGCUCGAAGAAAUAGUUCCUAGGAUGUCACAGGUCUUAUAGUUCAUCCUACAAUUACUAUUGUUGUUAUUCUUUAACCUUACCCUGAAGGCUCAAGUCUCCUUCGUGAAGCACUCUCAGCACCUAAUGUUAAUAAUCAUAGUUUUAGAACUUAACACCUGCCUUCCUCCUUCACGGCUGCCCACAGUUCUGGGGCUGCACCACACUCCUUCAUGCAAUAAACCCUACCGACCACCUACUAAGGGCCAGGCAAUGUACUAGAUCCUGGACAAAACAGACGAGCAUCUCUGCCCUCACGGGGCUUAACACCUCAUGUGGAGCAGACAGUAAAUACAUAUAUAGGUAGGUCAGACAGUGUUUUAGACGAUGACGUGUUAGAAAAAUAAGCAAAGGAGGAGACAGGACAGUUAGGACAGAGAAUUUGAUUUUAAAGGGCGGUCCACGAAGGAUGUGCUGAGAAGAGACUUUUAAGAGGAGAGCUUUGGCUCAGCGCCUGUAGCUCAAGUGGCUAAGGCACCAGCCACAGAUACCAGAGCUGGCAGAUUCGAAUCCAGCCCAGGUCUGCCAAAAAACAAAGACAACUACAACCAAAAAAUAGCCAGGCAUUGUGGUGGGUGCCUGUGGUCCUAGCUACUUGGGAGAUUGAGGCAAGGGAAUUGCUUAAGCCCCAGAGUUGGAGGUUGCUGUGAGCUGUGAUGCCACGGCAGUCUACCCAGGGCGACAGCUUGAGGCUCUGACUCAAAAAAAAAAAAAAAAAAAAGGAGCGCUUUGGGUAUCCAGAAAAAGAGAGACCACCAGUGCAAAGGCCCUGAGGUAGGAGGGGAUGGGCAGUGGAAGGCAAGGUCAGAGAGGAGUUGAGGGCAGCUUCAAAAGGCCUUGGAAGUCCUCAUGGGGAUGCCGGCUUUUCCAUGAGCGAGAUAUGGAGUUUUUGGAGGGGUCUGGCAGAGAAGCCUUCUAAUUGUUGCUUUGAGAGGAGAUCAGAGAGGGGCAGAGGUGGAGGGAGAACCUGGCUACCAGGGGACAGCUGCUCCAGGCUGGCACAGAGAAUGGGGUGAGGAGUGGCUUCUGGAUGUGCCUGGGCACCACCACCACCACCUGGGUUUGCUGAAAAUGAGAAGCAGCUAUUCGGUCUUGGCUCCAGUGCCAGGAAGGCUGGAAGGGCACGGCAAGAGGGGAGGUGGAGGGGAAGGACGGGUAUGGGGUAUGGUGGGGGAUAAGGACACAGUCUGGGGUGUUUAUGAGACAUCCAGGUGGGGAUGUCAAGCAGGCAUUUGGAGAUUCAAGUCUGAAGUUCACGGAGAGACGUCCAGACUGGGCUGUCACCUCAGGAGUCAUCACUGAAAAGGUGAUUUAUGAGGCCACAAAACUGGAUGAGUGCAGCACGGGAGUGAGUUUACACAGAAGAGAAGAGGUCCAGGGCAGGACCCCAGGGCCACUGACCCCAGCAGGGGAAGGGGAACCUGAGACAGAUGGAAGAAAACAGCACAAAGGAAAACCACAGAGUGAUGUCAGGAAGGUGAGUGAGGAAAGGGCUUCAGGAAAGAGGGUGCUCAGUCCCCUGUGCUGCUGGGAUGAGAAGCUGAGGCUGAGUCUGGGGGACGCUGCCAGGACAGACUGAUUGGAGGCAGGUCUGGAGGAAAAUCAGAGAAACUCCAGGGACAGUAAGGUUAGAUGGCGCUUAGUAGGGGUGCUGCUGUAAAGGGAAGUGGAGAAAAGGGCAGGAGCUGGAGGGGGAUGUGGGAGUCAAGGAGGAAUUUGGGGUGUGGGAAAGGAGCAGCACGUGACUGAGCGGGGCUGUGGGUAUCAUCUGGGAAGGCACGUUCUCAGCCAUGGCUGCACGUUGGAAUCACCUGGGGAGCUUUAAGUCUCCCAAAGCCUGGAUGGAACUUCACGUAAAAUAAGUGAGCAUCAUUGGCAAUGGUUCCCAAGGGGAAGAGCCACUGCAUUAGAGAAGGAAACACAGAUGGAGCCGGGAAGCCGGGUCGGGGAGGGCUGGGCUCCAGGGAAGAGAAGAGGGGGGCCUUUCCAGGGAGCGUGGGGUGGUUGCCUCUGUUGGUGGGAGAGAAAGCGGAGUCUUUGGGGGUUGAUGCUGGUGGAGUGGGGGCCUGGAGAAAGGUCCCAUCUGGUUGUGCCUUUUGUUAGAGAAAUAGCACCACAGGGCAUCCGUGAGCAGUGAGGAAGGGGAGGAGAGUCCUGGGAAGCAGGUCCUGGGGUGGGGGGUGUGGUCUGGGCAGCAUAGGGGCCACUUAGUUUUGGGGUCAGUUGUCCAGAGUGAGGCUGCUCGGCCUGGCCCCUCACAGCUCCAGUGCUGGGCAUCAGCCCUGCUCAUUGCUGGGCGAUCUCCCCACGUCGUUUACUCUUGUUGAGUCUCCAUUUCUUCACCUAUGAAAUGUGACAGUACCUACCACUGAGAACAAGUCCCAGGUCAGAGCUGGAUGCAAAGUGCCCAGAGCAAGAGCUGCCCCCAGCAGGCGGGCGUAAAGGGACUGGUAAGUUAGGGACCGUCUUCCUGCCUUCUCCCCUGUCCUGCUGUGGGACUGAGUUUUUCCCUUGGCAUCCUCUAGGGAACACAGUACUUACAUGCUGCCCAUGUGGAAAUUACACCUCGAUAGAUGCCUUCUGGGCUGAAUAAUUAACUACUUAGAGAGCAUUUGUCUUUGUGUGAGUGAUGAUCGUGAGAACUCAGUGGAAGGCAAAAGCCAGGCAAAAGUGCCUGCCUGUUCCUCCAGCAGAGCUUCUUCCUCCACAAUCCUCGCUGUUUUAAACACUCUGAUUCUGAUCUUUAACUGCAGAGUUAUAAAUAAAAUGCGUGAUUUGUACUUCUGCUGCCUAGAAGAAAAGAAAUCGUGUGAGAUUGUGUACAAGGAGAGGCACAGAUACAACACAGCCAUUCAGAUGAAGAUGAGAAAUAGGUCUGGACACUGAAUUGGGGCAGCACUCAAGCAGGGGGUACUGGGAAUGGCCUGAGAGCCUGGGUGGGUUCACUGUACCCCCCCAAAGCCCACUAAUGGGAAGGAGAUGGGGGACCCAUCCUACCCCUGGGCUAAUAAGGAGCCACGUCCUGGGAAGGGGGCACCGAGCACCCAUUCCAGAUGGCAGGAGGACGGGAGGCCAGGCUUCAGGGGCCUGCCAGCACACCUUGUGAGGGGUUUGCCUGAAGUUGGGAGCCCUUCCUACAUAAGGAGCCCCAAAGACCCCUUCGCUGCAUAAGGAGUCCUCAAAACUGUGCGCGGAGAGGCCCCCCCCAGUGCCUGUGACUGGGCUGUGACUCCACUGCAGCUUCUACAGGUGGCAGGAUCACCCAGGCCACACACCUCUCCUUCCUGUCCACAUACCCCUGUGCUCCUGUGGAUUCUCCACCUGCCCCAGGAGCUCUGAAGUGCCUGUCCCAGCAGGUCAGAACGUGCCUCCCCAGGCUGGCAGACAAUGGGCGCCCCGCGUGCCAUUGGCCGUAGUCCGGCUGCUCACACCCAGCAGCACCGGUAACACCAUCCUGCCAAAUGGCAUGAUGUGUCAUGAGAACCUGGUGAUUCUCCAGCCUUGAUUGGGGAGGAGCUACUCUCUGUCUUAAUUAAAACUGAAACUCAAAAGUUCGUGGGUACUAAACGUGGCUGUUAAAAUGCUGAAAGCUGAUAGUCUCCGAUUUACAUUUGUAAUGGGUUCUCAUGUUCCCUUUCUGUGGGUAACUUUCAUGUGACAUCAUCUGGAAUUUAAUUACCAACCACUAUUAAAGGACUUGGGGAA